AGGGUUUGAUUAUGGCUCAGAACGUACGCUGGCGGCACGCCUAACACAUGCAAGUCGAACGAAGUAGCAAUACUUAGUGGCAGACGGGUGAGUAACAUGUAGGUAUCUGCCCUUUGGCCUGGAAUAACACGAGGAAACUUGUGCUAAUACCGGAUAAGUCUUUACGGAGAAAGCUUUAUGCACCAUUGGAUGAGCCUGCACUUGAUUAGUUUGUUGGUGGGGUAAUGGCCUACCAAGACUGUGAUCAAUAGCUGAUUUGAGAGGAUGAUCAGCCACAUUGGGACUGAGACACGGCCCAAACUCCUACGGGAGGCAGCAGUGGGGAAUCUUGCACAAUGGAGGAAACUCUGAUGCAGCGAUGCCGCGUGAGUGAAGAAGGCCCUUGGGUUGUAAAGCUCUUUCGUCGGGGAAGAAAAUGACUGUACCCGAAUAAGAAGGUCCGGCUAACUUCGUGCCAGCCGCCGCGGUAAUUC
rnacentral:rRNA from 1 species